rnacentral:rRNA from 1 species
CCUACGGGAGGCAGCAGUAGGGAAUCUUCCGCAAUGGACGCAAGUCUGACGGAGCAACGCCGCGUGAGCGAAGAAGGCCUUCGGGUCGUAAAGCUCUGUUGUCAGGGAAGAACAAGUACCGGAGUAACUGCCGGUACCUUGACGGUACCUGACCAGAAAGCCCCGGCUAACUACGUGCCAGCAGCCGCGGUAAU